CUUGUGCCAGACCUUCCAUGUCUCACACAGUACCUGACAUGAGCAGCCAAGAGCAUCUGUAACCAUGCAAAUGGCAUAACCCUCCAAAAGGGAUGAAGUGCCUCUCAGACUCAGACCAAGCUCCUGGUAAGUGUCCUUGGGAUGGAGAAACCACAAGGCUAGCAGCACCCACCACACCUGCAUACACUGUUUCUGUAUUACCUUUACUAUUUCUCCUGGUAAUACUUCUACUGAUGGGGGUAAGGCUGCUUUUCUGAAGCCCGGGUAGCAUUAAGGAGAUGCCAUAAAACCUGUGGUUUUUCAGCCUGUAGUAGUAAGGAGAUUCCCACACGCUGGUGGGAAAUUUCCUUUGAGGAGUUGUUCAUUCCAGGCAACAAAAUCAAUGUGAGCCUGAUGCGAGCCCUGAUGGGAGAGAUCCAAGCGAUUUCUGCUGAAGAGCCGUUUCUGUCAUUGAUAAUGGACUGGAAAAAAAGCAUCAGUGCAUCAUCCAAAGUGUUUAAUCGCCUGUACUCAUCAUGUCCCUCCCUAGAAAUUGGUACCCAACUGUUUUCCCUAAAGUUGUUUGAGAAAGAUUUGCCUCCUGUGAAGUGUCACCAUGGAAGAGGAAGGAUGACCUGGCUGGUGCCCACCUGGUGUCACAUUCCUGGCUUCUGACCUCGAGAUCCCUCCAUCUGCCUCUGCAGCACAGGGAAGUUGGCAGCGUAGCGGCAUAACCCAUAAGGUGGAUUUAGAAAUGUUUUCAGCUAAAUGGGUUUGAUUUUAUCAUUCUAGAUGACCUCCACUCUCCCUCUUACAGUGGUAAGGGGACAAGUCCAGAUUUUGAAUAUUUUGUUCCUUGCUCAAUGCGUUGGAGCAUUUUCCCUUUGUUCCUUUAUGUAAUGGGAAGUAUUUGUUCAAUACUAUCCUGAUAAAAGUGCAAUGCAAACUUCGUGUUGGAAAUCAAAUGCUGGGGUGGAUCAAUCUCCCGAUCUCAUUCAACUUUCAGCGUGUCAAGCUCUAUUAUUCUCGAAACACUUUGACAGUUGCAGACUAGAAAGACUUCAAUUACCUUUAGAAAUGACCCUCCUCGCUGUAGGAUGAGCUCGUUUCUGCUGACACCACGUGCUGGUUGCACAGCAGGGUUUGGUGGCCAGGAUGCUGAUCCCAUGGCAUGGCACUGAGACCAACGUGCCCACACAGGGCUGCUGCUACCCUUUCACUGCUCUUGCAAGCCAUUUGACCCUUGUGCAACAGCAAAAGUGUGCGAGAGCAGUGCUGAAUGCUGCUGUGCAGCUCCAAGCUGUGCUCCUCUCCUUUUCUGCAGCUUUAUAAGCUGCCUACAGGGUACGGAGCGUUCCAAGCCUGUGACCUAAAUUAUGAGCAGAAGAUAUUAAGCCUGGAUUUUAACUUAAGAGCUGACUACACCCACAGGACAAAUUAAAACACUGUGUUGUUUUUCCACUGAAGUAGCUGGAAUUCCUUCACCACAAAUUCUGUUGGAUUUUGUGUGUUCUGGCAUGAAUAUUGGAGUGCCCAACCACUUAUCUGCGCUGGGUUUGCAGCUCCCUGCCUGCCACCAGUGCUGACUUCUGUCUUGCGUCGCAGCUUUGCUUUGCUGCCCUUCUCACAAAUGCCAGGAGCUGAUCUGUGGAGCGGCUGGGAUUUCUCCAUCACAAAUAUUGCCUGUUCAGAAGGAAGAGAGCCACUCCUGAGUUGUGAUCUUGAGAUUUUCUCAUCAUUGUGUGCCAAAAUGGAGGUAAAUUCCAUACCUUCCCACGAAAGGAGGACCAGGACUGUUUGUAGAGGAAAUAAGACC
ensembl:lncRNA